GCUGGGAAGUGUGAAACAGACACGAACCAGAGAGACAGACGCCUCGUUUGUUUAUACUGAAGCAGAAGAGCAGAGUGUGUAGAGAGAGAGAGAGAGAGAGAGAGAGAGAGAGAGAGAGAAAUGAGAGUAACAAGGAUGAGUAAGAAGCCAAAGACAGAAAACUCGGGAUGAUGAAGAGAAAAGAAAGAAGGAUCUGUUGAAACUCUUCUCUACACAGCAGCAGUUGAACUAUUAAAGUGACAUUUUCAUCGAUUCGGUUCGUUCCUGUUCUGCAGGAGCCAACGGCGCAGCAGCAGCAGCAGCAGCAGCAGUGAGGUGAGGCGGUGAGUGCUACUGUUGCCGUGCCGACCUGAGAGCAUCUUCUGCAGUUUCUCACCCUGUAUAAACAUCCUCCUGUGGUUCAUUCAGAGCAAGGUCCUGUCAUUAUGACACACUGCAGGCAGGCGCACACACACACACGCACACACACACACACACACACACAUAAAAGAAAUUCUACAUGUCAAGUGUGUUUGUUCUGGUGUUAGAACGACGCGACCAGCAAAGCAGCAACCACAUCUGACUGUUGAAGCCAAACCUGACGUGCUUUAAGCUGUAGGCUUCAAGUCCAACUGAA